UACGUAGGUGGCAAGCGUUAUCCGGAUUUACUGGGUGUAAAGGGAGCGUAGACGGUGAUGCAAGUCAGAAGUGAAAGCCCGGGGCUCAACUCCGGGACUGCUUUUGAAACUGUGUAACUGGAGUGCAGGAGAGGUAAGCGGAAUUCCUAGUGUAGCGGUGAAAUGCGUAGAUAUUAGGAGGAACACCAGUGGCGAAGGCGGCUUACUGGACUGUAACUGACGUUGAGGCUCGAAAGCGUGGGGAGCAAACAGG
rnacentral:rRNA from 1 species